UACGGGGGGGGCAAGCGUUGUUCGGAAUUACUGGGCGUAAAGGGCUCGUAGGCGGCCAGCUAAGUCAGACGUGAAAUCCCUCGGCUUAACCGGGGAACUGCAUCUGAUACUGGAUGGCUUGAGUUCGGGAGAGGGAUGCGGAAUUCCAGGUGUAGCGGUGAAAUGCGUAGAUAUCUGGAGGAACACCGGUGGCGAAGGCGGCAUCCUGGACCGACACUGACGCUGAGGAGCGAAAGCCAGGGGAGCAAACGGG
rnacentral:rRNA from 1 species